rnacentral:lncRNA from 1 species
GCUGGUAACAGGCUGAGGAGAGCUCAGUCCUGGGCACAUCGUACCAAUACAGCAGCAAGACCCCCCAGGGUGUGCAGCCUCGACUCCUCAGGGGAUCGGGGCUCCAUGGACACCUACAAAGAGUCAUCAUCCUGUGGGGGCAGCUGUUGGAGGAGCAGCAGUGCGGAGAGGUGGACCUGGAGCCCAGGCAAAGCGGCCAAGCCCUGGUGGGAACAUGCAAGGCUGGAAGCCAGCCUAGACCACAAGCGUGCAGGCAGGGAGCCAGCGUCACUGUCUUGGUCUCUGCAGAGGAACUGGAAGGGAGUUCAAGAGCUGGGGUCCUUUGCAAAGAAGACACAGAGCAAAGGAGACAUAGCCAGGACUGGCCCAGCACUCUUGGAGCACACGCAUGACGCCUGCUGGCAGGAGAUGAUGGAGCUGGAGAAGGAGAGACUCCACGAGCUGGAGCAUCGGACCCGCUCCCUCCUGCAGUGGAGGCAGGAAGCCCUGGAUGAGCUUCAUGUGCUGCUGCAGAAGGAGAAGAUGGACAUGCUGCGGCAGCUCCAGGAAGCUCUGGAGCAGGAGCCAGCGGUGCCAGGCCAGGCUGGGCGCUCCCUGGCAAGGCAUAUCAGCUUGGCAUGCCAGCGCCUCCGUGACUUGCUUCCUGACAACUCCAUGGGGCAGAGCCCUUCGCCAGCAG